AUUGAACGCUGGCGGCAUGCUUUACACAUGCAAGUCGAACGGUAACAGGCCGCAAGGUGCUGACGAGUGGCGAACGGGUGAGUAAUGCAUCGGAACGUGCCCAGUCGUGGGGGAUAACUACUCGAAAGAGUAGCUAAUACCGCAUACGAUCUAUGGAUGAAAGCGGGGGACCGUAAGGCCUCGCGCGAUUGGAGCGGCCGAUGUCAGAUUAGGUAGUUGGUGGGGUAAAGGCUCACCAAGCCCACGAUCUGUAGCUGGUCUGAGAGGACGACCAGCGACACGGGGACUGAGACACGGCCCAGACUCCUACGGGAGGCAGCAGUGGGGAAUUUUGGACAAUGGGCGCAAGCCUGAUCCAGCAAUGCCGCGUGCAGGAAGAAGGCCUUCGGGUUGUAAACUGCUUUUGUACGGAACGAAACGGCUCUGGUUAAUACCCGGGGCUAAUGACGGUACCGGAAGAAUAAGCACCGGCUAACUACGUG
rnacentral:rRNA from 1 species